CGAGCUUCUGCUACAAGUGAUCUACAUCGAGCUUCUGCUACAAGCGGUCUACUUUAAAUUUCUACUACGAGCGGUCCGCACCGGAUUUCUACUGUAAGCCUCCACCCGAGCUUCCCUCGUGAAUAAAUUCUUUUCGGACUUCUAUUGCAGGCAGGCUUCGACCGAGCUUCCUCAACAAAUGAUCCCCAUCCGGACCUAUACGGAAACC
rnacentral:lncRNA from 1 species